CCUACGGGAGGCAGCAGUGGGGAAUAUUGCACAAUGGGGGAAACCCUGAUGCAGCGACGCCGCGUGAGUGAAGAAGUAUUUCGGUAUGUAAAGCUCUAUCAGCAGGAACGAGACAAGACGGUACCUGACUAAGAAGCCCCGGCUAACUACGUGCCAGCAGCCACGGUAAUACGUAGGGGGCAAGCGUUAUCCGGAAUCACUGGGUGUAACGGGAGCGUAGACGGCUGUGCAAGCCUGAAGUGAAAGGCGGGGGCCCAACCCCUGGACUGCUUUGGGAACUGUACGGCUGGAGGGCAGGAGAGGGAAGUGGAAUUCCUAGUGUAGCGGUGAAAUGCGUAGAUAUUAGGAGGAACACCAGUGGCGAAGGCGGCUUACUGGACUGUAACUGACGUUGAGGCUCGAAAGCGUGGGGAGCAAACAGGAUUAGAUACCCGGGUAGUC
rnacentral:rRNA from 1 species